AAAAAAGCUGACACAUAGAGAUAGCCGAACCCGGGCGUUGGUUGACCCGGGCGAAAGGGACCGAACUACAGUAGGGAAGUCGGCGAUGCUCUGUGGCGAGAAAAGGCGAAGAUAGGGUGCCCGUACCGCAAACCGACACAGGUAGAUGAGGAGAGAAUCCUAAGGCCAACGGGAGAAAGGUUGUUAAGGAACUCGGCAAAAUUGCCCCGUAACUUCGGGAGAAGGGGCGCCCUCGAAAGAGGGCCGCAGUGAAAAGGCCCAAGCGACUGUUUACCAAAAACACAGGUCUCUGCUAAAUCGAAAGAUGACGUAUAGGGGCUGACGCCUGCCCGGUGCUGGAAGGUUAAGAGGAGGACUUAGCGCAAGCGAAGGUCUGAAUUUAAGCCCCAGUAAACGGCGGCCGUAACGAUAACGGUCCUAAGGUAGCGAAAUUCUUUGUCAGGUAAGUUCUGACCCGCACGAAUGGCGUAACGAUUUGGGCACUGUCUCAACAGCCUACCCGGCGAAAUUGUAGUACCGGUGAAGAUGCCGGUUACCCGCAACUAGACGGAAAGACCCCAUGGAGCUUUACUGCAGCUUAAUACUGAGAUUCGGUAAUUCAUGUACAGGAUAGGUGGGAGACUUAGAAACAGGGUCGUCAGGCACUGCGGAGUCACCCUUGGGAUACCACCCUUGGAUUGCUGGGUUUCUAACCUGCGGCCAUGAAUCCGGUCGGGGGACACUGUUAGGCGGGCAGUUUGACUGGGGCGGUCGCCUCCUAAAAAGUAGCGGAGGCGCUCAAAGCUUGGCUCAGCAUGGAUGGAAAUCAUGCAAUGAGUGUAAACGUAUAAGCCAAGUUGACUGCGAGACCGACGGGUCGAGCAGGUACGAAAGUAGGAGUUAGUGAUCCGGUGGUAUGUGAGUGGAAAUGCCAUCGCUCAACGGAUAAAAGCUACCCUGGGAUAACAGGCUGAUCUCCCCCAAGCGUCCGCAGCGACGGGGAGGUUUGGCACCUUGAUGUCGGCUCGUCGCAUCCUGGGGCCGUAUUCGGUCCCAAGGGUUUGGCUGUUCGCCAAUUAAAGCGGCACGCGAGCUGGGUUCAGAACGUCGUGAGACAGUUCGGUCCCUAUCUGUUGCGGGCGUAAGAGAUUUGAAGGGAGCUGUCCUUAGUACGAGAGGACCGGGAUGGACUGACCGCUGGUGCACCAGUUGUCCUGCCAAGGGCAUAGCUGGGUAGCUACGUCGGGACGAGAUAAACGCUGAAGGCAUCUAAGCGUGAAACUCCCCCUAAGAUAAGAUCUCUCAUCCUUUAUGGAGUAAGGCUCGUCGUAGACUAUGACGUUGAUAGGUCAGAGGUGGAAGCGC
rnacentral:rRNA from 1 species